ACGUAGGGAGCGAGCGUUAUCCGGAUUUAUUGGGUGUAAAGGGUGCGUAGACGGGAAGUUAAGUUAGUUGUGAAAUCCCACGGCUCAACUGUGGAACUGCAACUAAAACUGAUUUUCUUGAGUACUGGAGAGGAAAGUGGAAUUCCUAGUGUAGCGGUGAAAUGCGUAGAUAUUAGGAGGAACACCGGUGGCGAAGGCGACUUUCUGGACAGAAACUGACGUUGAGGCACGAAAGUGUGGGGAGCAAACAG
rnacentral:rRNA from 1 species